CGCUGUCGCUGUUUCCCUUCGAGGGUUUUUGGCAUAAUUCUGCUGGCGCUGAUUGACAGCGGUGGCAAAAGGCCGGAGCACAUCACAGGGAGAGAGAAAGGCUGGGGCAAAUCACAGGGAGAGAGAGAGAGAGGCUGGGGCAAAUCACAGGUAGAGAGAGAGAGAGGCUGGGGCAAAUCACAGAGAGAGAGAGGGAGGCUGGGGCAAAUCACAGGUAGAGAGAGAGGGAGGCUGGGGCAAAUCACAGAGAGAGAGAGGGAGGCUGGGGCAAAUCACAGGGAGAGAGAGAGAGGCUGGGGCACAUCACAGGGACAGAGAGAGAGAGAGAGAGGCUGGGGCAAAUCACAGAGAGAGAGAGGGAGGCUGGGGCAAAUCACAGGGAGAGAGAGGCUGGGGCACAUCACAGGGACAGAGAGAGAGAGAGAGAGACAGAGAGAGGCUGGGGCAAAUCACAGAGAGAGAGAGGGAGGCUGGGGCACAUCACAGGGAGAGAGAGAGAGAGAGGCUGGGGCAAAUCACAGGGACAGAGAGAGAGGCUGGGGCAAAUCACAGGGAGAGAGAGAGAGAGAGGCUGGGGCAAAUCAGAGGGAGAGAGAGAGAGGCUGGGGCAAAUCACAGGGAGAGAGAGAGAGGCUGGGGCACAUCACAGGGACAGAGAGAGAGAGAGAGAGAGAGAGAGAGAGAGAGAGGCUGGGGCAAAUCACAGGGAGAGAGAGAGAGAGAGAGAGAGAGGCUGGGGCAAAUCACAGGGAGAGAGAGAGAGAGAGAGAGAGAGAGAGGCUGGGGCAAAUCACAGAGAGAGAGAGAGAGAGAGAGAGAGGCUGGGGCAAAUCACAGGGAGAGAGAGAGAGAGAGAGAGAGAAACAGAGAGAGAGAGAGAGAGAGAGACAGAGAGAGGCCGGAGCACAUCACAAGGAGAGAGAGAGAGGCUGGGGCAAAUCACAGAGAGAGAGAGAGAGAGAGAGGCUGGGGCACAUCACAGGGAGAGAGAGAGAGAGAGAGAGAGAGAGAGAGACAGAGAGAGGCCGGAGCACAUCACAGGGAGAGAGAGAGAGAGGCUGGGACAAAUCACAGGGCGAGAGAGAGAGAGAGGCUGGGGCAAAUCACAGAGAGAGAGAGAGAGGCUGGGACAAAUCACAGGGCGAGAGAGAGAGAGAGGCUGGGGCACAUCACAGGGCGAGAGAGACAGAGAGAGAGAGAGAGAGAGAGAGGCUGGGGCAAAUCACAGGGCGAGAGAGAGAGAGAGACACUAUGCUAGUCCUGCUAGACCGCAGGGCUUCUUUUGUACGCUUGCCUUUGUGUGCCUUCAUUCUCUGA
rnacentral:lncRNA from 1 species